AGUCGAGUCGAGUCAGAGUCAUGACUGAGACCAUGCUGAUGAAGAGGUUUGUGAGUGAUGGAUACAAUAAAAGCUACAAACUAAAGGUGGUGAAGAUGUGCAGCUGAAGAUCGCUGGAACGACCAGAGAGAGAAGAAAAGAUUUCUGGAGCUCUGCUGGGAUGUGAAAUGAGCUGGAGAUGUGAGCAGCUGACAUCAAACUCAUCAGUGGAGCACAAGCUGCUGAGAGAAGUGAGGAAGAACAGACACGCUAAUCACUCCGUUCUGCUAAAUCACCCGAGUGACACUUCACACACACACACAUAUAUACACACCUAUAAAAGCUCAGAGAGAGAGAGAGAGAGAGAGAGAGAGAGAAGGAACGAUAGAAACAUACACAGAGACAUAAUGAGCGACAGAGAUAGAGCCAGAAAGAGACAGAUUAAGGAGAGAGUGAGACACAGCAGAGAAAAGACAUAAAGGCAGAGACAGACAGACAGACAGAGAGCCAGAAAGACAGAGAGACAGACAGAGGAAGAGUAAGACCCACAAAUAGAAAGAUUGAGAAGGAUGAAGAAGAGAUAGACACUUAGGGAGAGCAAGACAUAGUGUGAGACAGAUUGAGGAGAGAGAGAGAGAGAGAGAGAGAGAGACAGCAGAGAGAAGGACAAAGACAGACAGACAGAGAGAGAGACACACACAAAGAGAUAGAGAGAGAGAGGGAGAGAGAGAGAGAAAUAGACAGAGAGAGAGAGAGCGAGAGAGAGCGAGAGAGAGAGAGAGAGAGACUCUAGGGGGCAGUGUUGCAUUGUACUACAGUGGAAUAUGUAAAAAUAAAAAACUAAACUAAUAAAAAUAUUAAUUUCUAAUAAUAAAUAAUAAAUAAUUUUAUUCUGAUCCAGACAGAAACAAACUCUCUUUAUCUAAUCAUUAGGACUCUUUAGUCACAUGAGAACAGGUUAAGGUGUUGGACUGCUGACCAGAAGGUUGUGAGUUCAAAUCCCAAAUCCACCAAGCUGCCAUCACUGGGCCCCUGAGCAAGGCCCUUAACCCUCUGGUGCUCAGCUGUAUUAAACUCAGAUGAAAUGUAAGUCACUGUGCGUCUGACAGACAUCGGGAGUUGUUAUUGUGAGUGAAGCAGCUGUAAUGUAAGUGAUAACAGAAAUGUUCUUCACAGUAUUCAGUGUAACUACAGUAUAAAUAGAUUCAUUAUAUUAUAAAGUGAUUAUGAGUCUCAAGCAGCACUUCUCCCUUAUCUCUUUUCCCCAGAGGCUAAAAAAUAGAGUUUCCUCCUGUUUUUAUCGUGUCCAUGUUGAUGAUUGAGAGUCUUGGUCAUGUCUCAGUCCACAGUGGAGGUUAAUGUGAAGCUCAUAUGAAAGUAGACACUCAGGAACUUUAGGAAUUUGUAGAGUUUCAGAAGGAUUUCUGUGUCUUUUUCCCUAGACUACUAGGGGCGAUAUAUUCAUAGAGAAGUAUAGAAAAAAUAAAAAACUUUCUGCUCUCUGAGAUGUUCUCCAAGGGCUUGUUCGUCUAAAAAGCACCUCAGAUUUCAUCUUCAACCAGAAAAAUUCUGUGUAAGGUUCUCCAACAGAGGGAAAAACACACGUCUAAAACACACUGAAAGCUAAACAGACUGGUUUUAGAUCAGACUCACAGCCUGAACAUCAUUCAUUUCUUUAUCCUGAGUGAAAAUAUUGAUUGCAAAUGAGUCCAUUUCCUUUCCACUGGCGCUGUGGAACACCAGCGUGUUAAUAAAAAGGGUCAUUAAUGAGUAUUUCUGUUAUUAAUUAGUAAUUAGAAAAAGUGAAUUGUUGGCAAAUUGCUGUGGUAUGAAACAGUGAGGAAAUCCACAACGUCUAUUUCCCAGCAUGUAGCGCUGCAAACAAAAUGGCCGCCGUGGACUACACUCCCCAAAACACACACACACACACACACACUCACACACACACACACCUCACAGACCUUACGAGACACCUUCACUCUGUUAGAUUAAAAUAAAUCUCUCAUUCUAACAGAUGGUCAUUAAAUAAUCGAUGCUUCAUGAUCAUACUGUGUGACCUGUGAUGUUUGUGUCCACCCCCAGACUUCUGUGAGUUCUUGUUAAGCUCCAUGAGAUAACCAGGAGAAGGUCGCAUUCUUCCUCCAUAACCUGGUGUCAGAAAAAUCAUUCAGAGAGAUUUGGAUUCAGCUUCCAGCUUUCGAGAAAUUCGUGAUCCAUCCUCACCUGGAAAAGAAUUCCUAACACACUCUCAGCUCACACACGCUGUUCCCGACGUUAUUAAGCUUUACAUGUUGUUUAUUGAUGCCCUGGUUUGGACCUAAGCUCUGUAUUUUGUUUUUUAAAGCCCCUGUUUGUGUUGUUUGCAAAUCAUCUGACCUUUACCUGGUUUUUUAUGACCUGGAUCAUCGC